CUCUGGUGUUAUAUCCCGUUUCGGACUUAAAUUGUGGUUCGUUAUAUUAAAAGAAAUUGUUGUUUACCUCUUUCAAGGAUCUGUAUAGCAAGAUACUAUAUAUCGUGUAUCCAUCUUUGUCUCGAGUUUAAAAAUGUAUAUAUACAUGUUUAAUGAUUUUUAUCCAUGUACAUGAUAUUUCCAAAAGGUUUGUCAAAAUUAGCUUUAUACGUAUAAUGGGAAUCAAAUAGAUUACAUUGACAUAGUUUUUACCAAUUGUUUACAAGAAAGCGGAAAUUGACAUGGAAGAUGACAAUGUAAUUCUUACAAUGUCAAACUUAAAUUUGAAUGAAGAUAACAGAACGUGUCAAAAUAUAAAUUU
rnacentral:lncRNA from 1 species